rnacentral:rRNA from 1 species
UGGGGAAUUUUGGACAAUGGGCGCAAGCCUGAUCCGGCCAUGCCGCGUGCAAGAUGAAGGCCUUCGGGUUGUAAACUGCUUUUGUACGGAACGAAAAGACUCCUUCUAAUAAAGGGGGUCCAUGACGGUACCGUAAGAAUAAGCACCGGCUAACUACGUGCCAGCAGCCGCGGUAAUACGUAGGGUGCAAGCGUUAAUCGGAAUUACUGGGCGUAAAGCGUGCGCAGGCGGUUAUGCAAGACAGAGGUGAAAUCCCCGGGCUCAACCUGGGAACUGCCUUUGUGACUGCAUAGCUAGAGUACGGUAGAGGGGGAUGGAAUUCCGCGUGUAGCAGUGAAAUGCGUAGAUAUGCGGAGGAACGCCGAUGACGAAGGCAAUCCACUGGACCUGUACUGACGCUCAUGCACGAAGGCGUGGGGAGCAAA